CUCCUGGCAAUAGUAGGUUAUUAGCAACUGGUUGGGUUCUCAUAACUUGCAAAAGACUCUCAAAGGCUAACAUAUGGCAAUAUUUAAAUAAUUAUACACCCACACCCUUUUGGGGGAGGUGGAGUGAUUAAGAUUUAGGAUUCCACUGUGGUUAUAGCUGUAUUCAGGCAAAGCAGAAAAUGCUGAACUUAAAGGCAGCCUAAAUGAGUUAAGAACUCAUCUGAUUGACUAGCGGAGGCAUGUUUAGGAGGGCACACACUAGCAACACCAAGAAUCUCUAGGAUCUCUGUCUUAUUAAAACAGACUGAAAACAUUUGUGCUGAGGUUAUAUAGACUCCAUUGGAAGAUGGGAAUGAUGACCACAAGCCACAUGGAACUUCACCUUCUCACAUAUAUAUCACAAGACUCCUGGUUGACAAACUGGCCCUUUGUGUUUCUAAAGGCCACCUCAUUGGCCUAAAACACUUCACAGGGGUCCAACCACCCUUGAGGGGACAGGAUAAGACCUGGAAGCAUCAGAUCUAAAUUAGCUGAACCAAUUACAGAAAUCAAGUACUUUCUGAGAAUCAGACAAGACAGCAAUGCUGAAGAAGUAUCUGGUGAACUGAAUGGCAAUUUAAACUGAAAAUGGAAAUGAAAUGGAAAGAGUUGACAGGAAACUUUCAGCAUCUUCCUUCACGAUCAACAUAUAGAGUUCGUUUUCUGUAAAAGAAUGAAGAUCCACUUUUUCUUCAUAAAAUGCAAGCAACAGACUGCAAAAUCAUCUGACUGCUUAUUGCAGACCAAGUCAAGCCCUUCCUCUAUUUUCAAUUGCUUUCCAGUUGCUAGACACAGGAGUCUAAACCCUAUAACCUAAAUAUUAAAGCUCUGAAAAAUCACGGCCUUAUCUAUGCCCCCACAGGGCUAGCACAUUAUCUAUCCCAACAAUUAUUUUCUUAAUUCAUGCCUAAAUUCCUUUUCUUGUGCUGAGUCUUCCACCAAUGAUACAUUUACCCCUUCUUUCUAUCACACAAUGUUUUCAGGCCCUAACCAGAAUCCUCUCUUCUAGAAAAACAUAAGCCCAUAAUAAUCUCCUUUAAACAACUAUUGUAUACAUUUUCUGUACCAUACAGUUGGUACUUUAAUAUGUACAUAUCUUUUCUCUUCAAUUGGAUCACACACUCCUUAAUGUCAAAGCUUAUAAUUCUGUUUUCCAAAUGCCUGCCACAUAAUAUUUGCUCACUUUAAUACUGUUGAAUGAAUCGAUGCAGCAAAAACUUUGACACUGAGAAAAGGAACAAGUAAGCAGAUAUGUGAGAGGUUGAUAGAGCUACAGAGUAAGGAAAAUAAAAGAUAAAAGACCAAUAACCUAUGAGAUAAUGUACUAGGAAAGAAAAGGUAAAGGAAACAAACACAUUUUUAGAAGAGCUACCAGAAUUCUUUCUAAAAUUGAUUCAAAGCACAGAGAGUCAGAGGCUACACUGAAAAAAAAGCAGCAAACUUUGGUGAAAAAAAAAAUCACUAGAUUGGCAGCCAGGGUUAUCAUGUUUGGUAUAAAAUCUGCCAUUAAUUGCAAUUUAGGACAAGCUAUUUAACUGCCAUUGGCAAUUCAUCUCUAAACUUAGAACUCUACAUGUGGUGAUCUCUGAAUUCCCCUUUGCAUCAGGUAAUCUAGGAUUCUAUAGUUUUCAUUCACCUUGAGAAAGUUCCCAUUUCAUUUCUUCUGUGGAAAGAGGAACCUGAAUACACUAAAACUUAUGAUAAACUGAAUGUAGGAAGCUUCAGUAAGUAAGAGGGAGGUAAGAAAGGAAGGAUUAAAAUAACAACAUAAAAUAGAUCAAAUAGCUAUGAAUAUACUGCAAUUUCAGAAGCAGAGCAUUUCUUUAAUAUUUAGUUUACUUGAUCAUGUUAGCUGAGCGAUAUUCUUAUUGUGCUAGGUCAAGGACUUAGACUAAGACUGAGUGGAAGACAGAAAUGAGAGCUAGAGGCAACAUAUUCCAAAUUCUUGCUUUAGUUCAGUAAUAGAAAAGUAGCUAAUUGAUUGAAAAGGAGGUUAAGAAGCAUUAAAGAUCAUUUUGAUUAGGAGAAAACAUGUCAAUGUAAGAAUGUAAUUUAUAUCUUAUUUAAAAUAAUCACAUGCUAAAAGAUGUGGAUUAAUACAAGCAAAAUGAUGAAUUUACAAAGCAUUGAGAUGUCUGGAGGUAAAUUUUAAAAAGACUGCAAAUCAAAUGUCAUUUAACUUCUCUCUUUUCCCAGUCUCCCUUCCACACCAGUGCUAAUCACUCAGCACUCCCUUAAGCACCCAGUAUUUUCUUUUGUA